rnacentral:rRNA from 1 species
AUUGAACGCUGGCGGCAGGCCUAACACAUGCAAGUCGAGCGGCAGCGGGAAAGUAGCUUGCUACUUUUGCCGGCGAGCGGCGGACGGGUGAGUAAUGCCUGGGAAAUUGACCAGUCGAGGGGGAUAACAGUUGGAAACGACUGCUAAUACCGCAUAAGCCCUACGGGGGAAAGCAGGGGACGUUCGGGCCUUGCGCGAUUGGAUCUGCCCAGGUGGGAUUAGCUAGGUGGUGAGGUAAUGGCUCACCAAGGCGACGAUCCAUAGCUGGUCUGAGAGGAUGAUCAGCCACACUGGAACUGCGACACGGUCCAGACUCCUACGGGAGGCAGCAGUGGGGAAUAUUGCACAAUGGGGGAAACCCUGAUGCAGCCAUGCCGCGUGUGUGAAGAAGGCCUUCGGGUUGUAAAGCACUUUCAGUGAGGAGGAAAGGUUGUUGGCUAAUAUCCAACAGCUGUGACGUUACUCGCAGAAGAAGCACCGGCUAACUCCGUGCCAGCCGCCGCGGUAACAC